UACAGAGGGUGCGAGCGUUAAUCGGAAUUACUGGGCGUAAAGGGCGCGUAGGCGGUUGAUUAAGCUGUCUGUGAAAGAAUUGGGCUUAACCUAAUAAAGCAGACAGAACUGAUAGACUAGAGUGAAGUAGAGGUGAUAGGAAUUUCCGGAGUAGCGGUGAAAUGCGUAGAUACCGGAAAGAACACCAGAGGCGAAGGCGAGUCACUGGACUUUAACUGACGCUGAGGCGCGAAAAGCGUGGGGAGCAAACAGG
rnacentral:rRNA from 1 species